rnacentral:misc_RNA from 1 species
ACACCUCAACUCCUCAUGGUUUUCCGUGAUGAGCUUGGACUUUGGGGGUUUUGCUGGCCUACGGUCGGCUCCUCUAAAAUGAAUCAGCUUUCCAGUGUUUGGUGGGCGUCACAGGUGUGAUAACUAUCUACGCUUGUGGUUUUUCCACCGGGUAACCUUCAGCAGUGGAGGUUGGCUGGAGCUCAUAGACGUCUCUCCUCAGGGAGGACAACCCUUUGAAU